rnacentral:rRNA from 1 species
AGCGAACGCUGGCGGCAGGCUUAACACAUGCAAGUCGAACGGUCCUUCGGGAUAGUGGCGGACGGGUGAGUAACACGUGGGAACGUACCCUUGGGUUCGGAACAACACAGGGAAACUUGUGCUAAUACCGGAUAAGCCCUUCGGGGGAAAGAUUUAUCGCCUUUGGAGCGGCCCGCGUCUGAUUAGCUUGUUGGUGAGGUAAUGGCUCACCAAGGCUACGAUCAGUAGCUGGUCUGAGAGGAUGGCCAGCCACACUGGGACUGAGACACGGCCCAGACUCCUACGGGAGGCAGCAGUGGGGAAUCUUGCGCAAUGGGCGAAAGCCUGACGCAGCCAUGCCGCGUGGAUGAUGAAGGUCUUAGAAUUGUAAAAUCCUUUCACCGGGGACGAUAAUGACGGUACCCGGAGAAGAAGCCCCGGCUAACUUCGUGCCAGCCGCCGCGGUAA